CUUGACAUGAGAGGACCACUGUGCUGCCAGUUGAAAGAACUUGACGUCGUUCCACUCCACUCCGUCAAUCAGGACUACAGGGGAAGGUUAAAAAUAAAACAGGAUCCAAGCAUUUCUGGCCUGUCCUUAUAAGAUGUUAUAUGCUGUUCUGUCCCCCUGGUCACGUUACCUGUGCUCCUCUGAAACUGCAACUUCAUCAUGUGCUUCUGGAGGUGGAUACCAGAACUGCACAGCAAGAGCAAGAUAGCUACACCAACAUUUUGUGGUUCAACAGAAUGAGUCCUCACCAGGGUAAUUCUUUACUGGCAAUCUUCUGCUGGUUUCCUCCCUUUAAGUCUACACAUUUCAACUAAAGCAAAACUUCACAUUGCUACA